GCACCCUUGGUGUAUAAAAACACACAUCUUACAGUUGCUGUCCUUCGCUGUCCAACUAAUCAAGAUGAGUCCGGGGUUCGAAUCCCCGAGGGUGCA